ACACCAGGGAAAUGAUUGUGUGUGAUCUUGCUGGUGAGGGGAGGCAGGAAGAGAUGGUCACAAUACAUCUGAGCUCUGUCUGUGAUGUGUGUCUCUCUAGAUAAACAAUCCUGGUUUGAGCUUAUGAUCUGGUGAGUCCAGAGCCUGGGACUAAUACAGGGUUAGUGUUUUCUUUUUGUGUAUUUUGUUACGCAUAUCAGUAAUUUCUGCACAUUGAAGAGGGGUAGUUUCCUUCAUACCUGAAUAUCCUCCAGUUAUUCUAAAGAAGAAAAGAAAGUCCUAUUCUCUUAAAAGGAAAGGAAAGUCUGCAGUCUCCCUGUUCAUCAGGCAGCGUCCAACUAGUUUUCUUCGUAGCAGAAGAUGCUACGAAGAAAACUAGAUUUUCAUUAGAUUUCUGUUUUAAUAACAGUUGUAAAUGGCAGUCAGUGGGACUGGCCUUGGGAAGUGCCUGUCAUUGCAGGAGAGGCAAGAAGAGAUGUUUGGUGGUCCCUUUCAUGGCUUGCUACUUGUGCAGCACAUUCCUGAGACAAAUCUUGAAGCUAAGGUGUGAAUGAUUUCUCAUACCAUGAACUUUAUCAACUUGAAACACAGGAUCGAAGGAUGAAUCAUUCUCACUGAAUCAUUCUGAAUACUUAUUUCUUCUCCAGCUCUUUUUCUACUGUCUUAUGUGUCCACCUUAACUCUUAAUGUAACCUAAAAAAACCUGUAGCCCUUCAGAACAAUGGGUGCAGUCACACUACUGCACUUGUAGGUCCUGCUCCCUUGGCUGCUAAACAGGAAUUUGCCUUUUCUAUUGCAUGCUCCCAGGUUGCUUUUCUCUUGCUUUCUCCAAGCUUUUAAUAAAGCAUUGGAUAUCCUCUGGUUUCCUUCCUCAAGAAGGAAGAAACAAAGCCUGAUCUAAAAUAGCCCAUAUGCACCCAGAUAGAAACCCUGUUUAAAUAUCACACAGUGCCAGGCAGAGCAGCCACAGUUUUAUUUAUUUAUCUAUUUAUUUAUUUAUCUAUUUGUAUUAACUACCCAGGGAUUAGCCUGUUUCCCAAAUCAGGGAAGACUGUGAAAGCUUUAAUUACACAAACAAUGCAAACUGAACCUUUUGCCUCCUCACACAGGCAUGAGAGAGUUCUGGGAUGCCUGGUGGUGCAGCUGGGUGUGUUGUCAAAGCACUUGUCCUUGCUCUGACUUACAAACUCACACCACUGCCUGCGUAAGCACAUGCAGGUUUCUAUAUAGAGCCAAGGAAAACAAAACUGCAGCUGAAAUCUGCUUCUCCUCCUGCUUUAAGGAUUUAUGCCUAGACUAUUGAUGGGCAGAACAAGAGAGCUAAUGCAUCCAUAGACUUGGAAAGCACAGCAACAGGAUGGAUACUUUGCAUCUCUGACAGGAUCUUGAAAAUGUGAAAUAAUUCAGAUUGCAAGGGACAUCAGGAGAUUCAGAUCAAACCUACAAUCCAAAGCAUGGCCACUUAAAACAGGAUGCUUAGGACUUGACCAGCCAAGUUUUGGAAACCCCCAAGGCUGAGGAUCUCACAGAUUCUCUGGGCACUUGCUCCAGUUUUUGAUUGCCCUUGUGGUAAAAACAAUUUUCUGUUUAUUUAGUCAGAUCUAUCAUGCAGUUCUGCAGAGACUGGCUUUUCUUAUCUCACCAUCAGGCAGCUGUAGACACCAACAAGCUUUUCCAUGGGACUUCUCUGUUGUGAGGCUGAGAAAGCCCAGCUCCUGCAACCUCUCCUCACUCGUUGUGCUCUCAGCUGCCUGCUCAGUCCAGUGUAUCAAUAUCUUUCUUGCACUGGAGCCCCCAAAGCUCCAUGCAGUUCUCCAGAUGUGGUCUCACAAGUGCUGAAUAGAGGGGACUAAUGAAUUUCCUUGGCUUUCAGCUGUGAUUCUGUAAGUAAAGCCCAGUAUGCUGUUGGUUUCCUUUGCCUCAAGGGCACGCUGCAAUUCCCACCCCUGGUCCUCUCUCUUUUUAUUCUAAAGCUGUUCCCAACACAUCUACCUAGUCUGAAUUGCUGAAGGGGUUAGUCUGCCUCAGAGGCAGGACUUUGCUGCAUUUGCCUGAGUUCAUGAAGUACCUGGCAGAUAAUUUCUCCAGCAGCCUGAGAUCUGCCUUUCAAGGAAGUCCUGCCCUGGCUGUUGCAGCUGCCCAGCCCAUGCCCCAGGAGAGAGCUGGCACACUCAUGUUACUGCAAACCUCCCCAGACCAGGCUCAGUGAAGUCCAGACACUGCUGAAAGGGCACUCUGUGGUGUCCUCCAGGAUGUUAAUAAAGAUGUUAGAUGGUACUGGUCCCAGGACUGACCACCUAGAAUGCCCCUGGAAAUUGGCUGCCAGUUCAACUUUAUCUGGACAGCUGGGCUCAAAGGAUGGUCUGGUACACUCCUCACCCAUUUCAGGUAGCUACCCAGUCCAAAUCAGUGAUUUGACUAUAGGCUGUUUUAAAAAUAAAUAAAUUAAAAAAAAAAAAAAAAAAAGAAAACAACAGAAGAAUCCUUUUAUUUUCAAAGUUUGGUCAAUCCACGAAAGAAAGAGCAGCACAUUUUUUGCAAAGCCCAAAUAACUGUACAGCUCAUUCUGAAGACAGAUUUUUUCCCAAGAAAAAGGAAGUGCCUGUUGAAGAGAAGGAACCAGGAAGGGAGCUGGGCCCAACUGUGGCCAGCAUGGUUCUGCUGGAUGGUACCUUUAGAGACACACUACAUCCUUCACACUUCUCCUUCCAGUGUUCGUCUCCUUAAAAUCACUGAACACCCAGGACCUAUGGAAGAAAUGGAGCAAAACUUUGUAGGGGGAAAUGCUGCCUGGGUGUAUCAGCAGCCACCUUUUCACUUCAGAGGAAAUCAGGUUGUCUUCCAGUGAGUUCCAGUCAUCAAAUUAUUUUAUUGUUACAAUAUCAUGAAGCAUUUUUUAUUUUGUGCACGUCAAGGUGCUCAAAGUGUUAGUUUUCACAGUAUAGAAUGGAUGUGACAGCAUUUGUCAUGGAAGCACUCAGCAGAGUAUGUUUCAACUUCAUUUUGUUGUGCUGUUUUAUGAAGUUCUGCAGUAAAAUGUGCCAGCAAAUUAUGUUAGUUUCUUUCUGGUGAUUAACUAAUCAUUCAUAUAAUAAAUAGCAGCUAACUACAAGAAAGAGAUUUAUUUGUCACAGAUUAAGAAGAAUGUCAAACUUUUCCCAUUUCAUGUAAAAAGGCAGAGGAAAAAAUACUUCUAAAAUGACUUUGCAAUAUGUGCUUUAUUUUAAGUCAUUACUGAAUCAAAACUACAAGUAUAUCCUUUUAACAUACCCUACCCACUCAAUUUUUUUUUUUCUCAAUUUUUUUUUUUAACAUGGAAAGAAACCUACAUUGCAAUUGUAAAUCUUCAUGCUGCAAUGAGCCAUUUGUUUCACUAAUAAUAGCAAUUUAAAAGAAAAAAGGGCAUUUCUCAAGCUCAUAUGUAUGUCUAUAUUUGGGAACUUAAAAAAAAAACCCGUCUUAGAUGUAAAAAUGUGACUUGGAAUAUGUAAACAUUUUUGUAUACCUGAAACACUGGAAGAAGAAUAUCAGCAAACAGCAAAACAAGAGUUGCCUUAAAUCAUCGAAAUGGGAAAAAGCAUGUCAUGGGGAGCAGAGAGAAGCACACACUACUCAGAGUCUUUAAAGGGUUAUAAGAAAUGAAGUAGCACAUUAGGUCAUCGAUUUCACUUUCUUUUCU